AGCAGCCGCGGUAAUUCCAGCUCCAAUAGCGUAUAUUAAAGUUGUUGCAGUUAAAAAGCUCGUAGUUGAAUUUCGGGAUCAGUUGAUCGGUCGUGCCUCGGUACGUACUGGUCAAAUUGAUUCCUACCUUCUGACGAACCACGAUGUCAUUAAUUUGGUGUCGCGGGAAAUCAGGACUGUUACUUUGAAAAAAUUAGAGUGUUUAAAGCAGGCUCGCGCUUGAAUACAUUAGCAUGGAAUAAUGAAAUAGGACGUUUGAUUCUAUUUUGUUGGUUUCUAGGAUUGACGUAAUGAUUAAUAGGGAUAGUUGGGGGCAUUAGUAUUCAAUUGUCAGAGGUGAAAUUCUUGGAUUUAUUGAAGACUAACUACUGCGAAAGCAUUUGCCAAGGAUGUUUUCAUUAAUCAAGAACGAAAGUUAGGGGAUCGAAGACGAUCAGAUACCGUCGUAGUCUUAACCAUAAACUAUGCCGACUAGGGAUCGGAUGAUGUUAAUUUUUUAAUGACUCAUUCGGCGCCUUAC
rnacentral:misc_RNA from 1 species